rnacentral:rRNA from 1 species
GUUUACCAAAAACAUGGCUUCUUGUAUAAUAACAAAUAAGGAGUCGGACCUGCCCGGUGAAAUUUUUUAACGGCCGCGGUACUCUGACCGUGCAAAGGUAGCAUAAUCAUUUGCCUUAUAAUUAAAGGCUGGUAUGAAUGGUUUGACAAGAAUGUAGCUGUCUCUUUAUAAUUUUAUAGAAUUUUAUUUUAAAGUGAAGAAGCUUUAAUUCAAUUAAUAGACAAGAAGACCCUAUCGAGCUUUAAAGAAAUCUUUAGAAAUUAAUUAAUAGUUUUUAAAAAAUUGGCUAUUGAAAUAUUUUGGUUGGGGCGACUAAGGAACAAAUAAAGCUUCCUUUUAUAUAACUUACAUACAUGUACUGAUCCAAAAUUUUUGAUUAAAGAAAUUAGUUACCGUAGGGAUAACAGCAUUAUCUUUUUUGAGAGCUCUUAUCGAAAAAAAGGUUUGUGACCUCGAUGUUGGACCAGAAUAUCCUAAAGAUGCAGAAGUCUUUAAAGGUUGGUCUGUUCGACCAUUAAAAUUCUACGUGAUCUGAGUUCAGACCGG